UACGUAGGGUGCGAGCGUUGUCCGGAAUUAUUGGGCGUAAAGAGCUUGUAGGCGGUUUGUCGCGUCUGCUGUGAAAGUCCGGGGCUCAACCCCGGACUUGCAGUGGGUACGGGCAGACUGGAGUGUGGUAGGGGAGACUGGAAUUCCUGGUGUAGCGGUGGAAUGCGCAGAUGUCAGGAGGAACACCGAUGGCGAAGGCGGGUCUCUGGGCCACUACUGACGCUGAGGUGCGAAAGCGUGGGGAGCAAACAGG
rnacentral:rRNA from 1 species